ACAAUGGAGAGUUUGAUCCUGGCUCAGGAUGAACGCUAGCGGCAGGCUUAAUACAUGCAAGUCGAACGGUAUAAGUGGUAGCAAUAUUGCUUAGAGAGUGACGUACGGGUGCGUAACACGUAUGCAACCUACCCAAAACAGGAGGAUAGCUCGGGGAAACUCGAAUUAACCCUUCAUAGUAUCAUUAGGUGGCAUCACCAGAUGAUUAAAACUCCGGUGGUUUUGGAUGGGCAUGCGUCUGAUUAGUUAGUUGGCGGGGUAACGGCCCACCAAGACGAUGAUCAGUAGGGGAACUGAGAGGUUGAUCCCCCACACUGGCACUGAGAUACGGGCCAGACUCCUACGGGAGGCAGCAGUAGGGAAUAUUGGUCAAUGGGUGAGAGCCUGAACCAGCCAUGCCGCGUGCAGGAAGACGGCCUUCUGGGUUGUAAACUGCUUUUGUCAGGGGAUAAAAAUACCUUGCGAGGUAAAUUGAAGGUACCUGACGAAUAAGCCACGGCUAACUACGUGCCAGCAGCCGCGGUAAUACGUAGGUGGCAAGCGUUGUCCGGAUUUAUUGGGUUUAAAGGGUGCGUAGGCGGCUUUGUAAGUCAGUGGUGAAAUAUGUCAGCUUAACUGAGAGGGUGCCAUUGAUACUGCAGAGCUUGAGUACAGAUGAGGUAGGCGGAAUUGACGGUGUAGCGGUGAAAUGCUUAGAUAUCGUCAAGAACACCUAUAGCGAAGGCAGCUUACUAGGCUGUAACUGACGCUGAGGCACGAAAGUGUGGGGAUCAAACAGGAUUAGAUACCCUGGUAGUCCACACUGUAAACGUUGAUUACUCGCUGUGUGCGAUAUACAGUACGCGGCCAAGCGAAAGCGAUAAGUAAUCCACCUGGGGAGUACGCCGGCAACGGUGAAACUCAAAGGAAUUGACGGGGGUCCGCACAAGCGGUGGAGCAUGUGGUUUAAUUCGAUGAUACGCGAGGAACCUUACCUGGGCUAGAAUGCCCUUG
rnacentral:rRNA from 1 species